GAUGAACGCUGGCGGCGUGCUUAACACAUGCAAGUCGAACGGUAAGGCCCCAGCUUGCUGGGGCACACGAGUGGCGCAGGGGUGAGUAACACGCGGGUGACCUGCCCCGCUCUUCGGGAUAAGACUGGGAAACUGGGUCUCAUACAGGAUACGAUCGUAUCGUGAGGGUGGGGCGGAAAGUUAUUCGGUGCGGGAUGGGCCUGCGGCCUAUAAGCUUGCUGGAGGGGUAAUGGCCUACCAAGGCGGCGACGGGUCGCCGACCUGGGAGGGUGGACGGCCACAAUGGGACUGAGAGAGGGCGCAGACGCCAACGUGAGGCAGCGGGCGGGAGUAUUGCGCAACGGGCGGGAGCGUGAUGCGACGACGCCGCGAGGGGGAUGACGUCCUUCGAGGUGUAAACACCUGUCUCCGUCGACGAGGGUUUUCUGACGGUAGAUGGUGAAAAAGCACCGGCUAACUACGUG
rnacentral:rRNA from 1 species